GAGUUCUUGCCAUGCUUAUUUCUUGCCAGUGCUCGUUCUCUGCUUGGUGCAGAAAGCAGUCUCCUAAGAACAUAUGCCAGGCCAUGGGCGGCAGAAGGACUGGGCAAGUAGACUUGUGUAUUCUACUCCUUUAUUUCCUGAUUUUCCAAAGGAUUAUGAUCCAAACCUGAGCAGAGAAGUCCCCCAUCUUCUGGAAUGAAAUUCUGGAAUCCACUGGACUUGUUCUUCCUGUUCCCAUUUUCCUCCAGUUGCCCUGUUGGCUGGGGAGCUUCAGGGAGCAACAGCAGACUUAGAUAUCUGGACUGGAAGAGAGAGUCAACAAUGGAACACUGAGCCUCCCCGAACCUUUUUGCUUGACUGAGGACUGAGGACAGAGGACUGAAGGAUCUCAUGUGGGCCACAUGAGGUUUGCCUUUAGCAUAAUAUUGCACACAAUCUUGAGGGCUCCAAUGUGGGAAGAAAAGUCAGUGAUUACCCAUUUGUGGAUCUCAGGAGAUGUUGGCUGAGAAACAUCAAGACCGUGUUGUCAAAGUGCUGUGUGAAACCUGGCUCAUCAUGGUGCAGUUGGAGCUUUAAAAGAUGCUAUUAAAACCAUUGCUGCAGAAAUGGACAGAUUCUGCUUAACUCAGUCGCUCCUGCUCUUUAUGUUAUUUCUGAGAUAAUUCAGCCAUUUCUUUGAUCCCAGAUCCUUUUUUAAAAAUGUUUUAUUUCACAUAACAUGACA
rnacentral:lncRNA from 10 species